rnacentral:rRNA from 1 species
CGAAAGCCUGACGGAGCAAUACCGCGUGCGGGAGGACGGCCUGUGGGUUGUAAACCGCUUUUCUCAGGGAAGAAGACCUGACGGUACCUGAGGAAUCAGCAUCGGCUAACUCCGUGCCAGCAGCCGCGGUAAUACGGAGGAUGCAAGCGUUAUCCGGAAUUAUUGGGCGUAAAGAGUCCGUAGGUGGUUCAUCAAGUCUGCUGUUAAAGCGUGCAGCUCAACUGCAUAUAGGCAGUGGAAACUGUUGAACUAGAGUAUGGUAGGGGUAGGGGGAAUUCCCAGUGUAGCGGUGAAAUGCGUAGAUUUCGGGAAGAACAUCGGUGGCGAAAGCGCUCUGCUGGGCCGCAACUGACACUCAGGGACGAAAGCUAGGGGAGCG